UCCAGGCGUUGGGAGCCGAGGUUUUCUAAUAAAGCCUGUAGGCGUGCGUGGGGACCGCACGUGGGUCCGCCGCCGGCCGUGUGCCCAGGUCUCCGCACGCGCGCCUACGCCUCCUCGUUUAGGGCAAACCAGUCGCCUGGUUCCGGCUGCCCUUGUGCCUGUCCCCAGCUCCGCGGUCCGCUCUUUGGGAGGGGCACGAGGGUCCCGUGUUCUGCGGGUCCAGGCGCACUCGCGCAGUAAUGCCAGUACUGUGGGAGGCUGAGGCAGGAAGAUCGCAAGGUUGAGCUGGAGAUACAGGGAAGUCAGCGCUAGCUCGGCCCGUUCUCCUCUGGCUUUACGCUGGACUCCUCCUCCCCAAGGAAGGGUCUUGCUAUGUGGUUCAGGCUGGCCUUGAACUCACUAUGUAGCCAAGGGUGGCCUUGAACUGGAAGUCAUCCUCCUGCCUCAGCCUCCCGAGUGCUGGGGUUACAGGUGUGCACCACCAUGUUCAGCAGUUAAAUUAAUUUCUGAAUGGAUUCUGGUGUCAAAAAUGUCCUGAAGCUACCACCCUAUUUAGUGUUUGAAUAAUUAGAGCAUAUAUUCCCGGGGUAGAACAUGUUGGUAAGAGGAGCUCACCAAAGUGAAGAUACACUAGAUAAGUAAAUAAAUAAAUAGCAUUAUUGUCUGUUUUGUAGUUCUUAAUGUCUCCUGAAGUUUCAAGUACAUUCCCACCACAAUUUGGAAGGAUGGAUCCCACUUGCCAUCUAAAAAUAAUGCAUUAUAAAGUUUUCUAACAAAUUUUUUAUUUUAAAGAAUUUUUGUAUCUA